UACGAGGGGCCCAAGCGUUAUUCGGAAUUACUGGGCUUAAAGAGUUCGUAGGCGGCAUGAAAAGUAGGGUGUGAAAGCCCUCGGCUUAACCGAGGAAUUGCGCUCUAAACUGUCGUGCUAGAGGAACCUAGAGGUGAGCAGAACAGAUGGUGGAGCGGUGAAAUGCGUUGAUAUCAUCUGGAAUACCGGAGGCGAAGGCGGCUCACUGGGGGUUUUCUGACGCUGAGGAACGAAAGCCAGGGUAGCGAACGGG
rnacentral:rRNA from 1 species